GCUCUCAAUCCCCCAAAAUUACAAGCUCAAUGCAUUUUAGUCCUUUUGUCAAGUGAUCACAAUGUAUGAAAGAACUAACUGGUAAUGAAUUUGUUAUUUUCAAAAUUCAACUUUUGCUUUAGCUGAUUUCAUUUUAAUAUAAGAUUUAUAGAAAAAUUGUAUUAUUUAUUAGUCAUGUAUAAUAUGAUUCACUUCAUAUAAGAUCUGAUGGAUUUUUUUUUUUAAAAUACAUUUAAUUCUGAUAGAUCUUGAUAGUGCUUAAAUUUUUAUUUCGCAGGUUCUUACCUUAUGUUGGCUGGGUGACUAUCAUUAUGACUGAAAAGCCUAUCAUCAAGUACAUUCUAAUUGGUGCUUUGGGUUUGCUGGUAAUAACUUCAAAAGAAUAAAAGAUUGUUAUUGUAAGCAGAGCCGGCACCUCCUUUAGGGUGUCAAUGUCAUAUUGGAUUAUCCUUUGUAUCAUUUGACAACUUAAUGUUAUGAAUUAAUCCAAAGUAGUGAAUUUUGACUUUUAUUUU